rnacentral:rRNA from 1 species
AACGAACGCUGGCGGCAGGCCUAACACAUGCAAGUCGAACGAACCGUUUACGGUGAGUGGCGCACGGGUGAGUAACACGUGGGAAUAUACAUUUCGGUAAGGAAUAACGUAGAGAAAUUUACGCUAUUACCUUAUAAUGACUACGGUCCAAAGAUUUAUCGCCGAAGGAUUAGCCCGCGUUAGAUUAGGUAGUUGGUAGGGUAAUGGCCUACCAAGCCUACGAUCUAUAGCUGGUCUUAGAGGAUGAUCAGCCACACUGGAACUGAGACACGGUCCAGACUCCUACGGGAGGCAGCAGUGAGGAAUAUUGCGCAAUGGGGGAAACCCUGACGCAGCCAUGCCGCGUGAGUGACGAAGGCCUUAGGGUUGUAAAGCUCUUUCAGAUGUAAAGAUAAUGACGGUAACAUCAGAAGAAGCUCCGGCUAAAUUCGUGCCAGCAGCCGCCGUAA